rnacentral:rRNA from 1 species
CGCGUAGGCGGACUUUUAAGUUAGGGUGAAAUCCCAGGGCUCAACCCUGGAACUGCCCUUAAUACUGGAAGUCUUGAGUUCGAGAGAGGUGAGUGGAAUUCCGAGUGUAGAGGUGAAAUUCGUAGAUAUUCGGAGGAACACCAGUGGCGAAGGCGGCUCACUGGCUCGAUACUGACGCUGAGGUGCGAAAGUGUGGGGAGCAAACA